rnacentral:rRNA from 1 species
AACGUAGGAGACAAACGUUAUCCGGAGUUACUGGGCGUAAAGGGCGCGUAGGCGGUUCGUACAGUCAGACGUGAAAUUCCCGGGCUCAACCUGGGGGCUGCGUUUGAUACGUACGGGCUUGAGUUCGGAAGAGGGUCGUGGAAUUCCCAGUGUAGAGGUGAAAUUCGUAGAUAUUGGGAAGAACACCGGUGGCGAAGGCGGCGACCUGGUCCGAUACUGACGCUGAGGCGCGAAAGCGUGGGGAGCAAACAGG